rnacentral:tRNA from 1 species
AGGGGUGUAGUACAAUGGUAGUAUAACGGUCUCCAAAACCGCUGACGCGGGUUCGAUUCCUGUCACCCCUGCCA